AUGGGCAUUGUCUGUGCACAAUGUUCCUUUAUUCUGCUGCUGUCCAUAAUAAGGGCUCGUCCACCUCACUUCCUCUUCUGCCCACUGAGCAGUCAAAGAGCUGAAAGUCCUUAUAAGCCUGUGCACCUGGGCCUGGGCCCUACAGAUAAGGUAGCUGCUAUUGCUAUGGCCCGCAUCAUCGACCUGGUGCCCUGGGACGAUGGCUCCACACAUGUGUAUGCCUCCCCGGCCAUCCUGCUUCCCGUGGAGCGGCAGCGCAACCAGCUGGCGGGCGUGAAGCAGCAGCUCUACCACCCAGCCCUGCCCACCCUGCGCCACAUGGACAGGGACACUGUCAAGUCCUGCCUUCCUGAUGAGCACUGCCAGUCCACCACCUACUGCCGCAAAGAUGAAUUUGACAACGCCCAUUUUACACUCCUUGGGAUCCCCAACAAACCCCUGCAGUGUUUGGACAUCACCGCGACAGGCCAGAAGCUCCGCAACAGGUACCACGAGGGAAAGCUGGCGCCCAUCGCGCCAGGCAUCAACCGAGUGGACUGGCCCUGCUUCACGCGCGCCAUCGAGGACUGGUCCCACUUCGUGUCCUCGGCCGGGGAGUUCAAGCUGCCUUGCCUGAGCAAGCGAGUGGAGGGUCUCAGCGGCUACGCGGUGCGGUACUUGAAGCCGGACGUGACCCAGAGCUGGCGGUACUGUCUCAACCAGAACCCCAGCCUGGACCGCUACGGACAGAAGCCCCUGCCUUUCGACUCCCUGUAAGUGACGCCACGCGCCCGGGGACCCCAUAUCCGGAGGAGGGAGGAUGAGGUCUGGGCCGCUUUCCUAGCGCACACGCAAUGACCCUUGAAAACGAACACUUUCCGAAGCUUCGGCUCCAGCUACAGUCGUGUCAACUACCUGACCCCCUGGCAUUAAUCUCUGGAAAGGAGGCUGACUCCCAGGCUGCCAGACAGUGCCACCUCAGGUCCCCUGGCCAGACCGAGGACUUAUGGUGGCACCAGCCAUCUCCCCAGGAGUUCAGCCUAACUAGAAAUAAACCUAAUGCUCCCUUAGAAA